rnacentral:rRNA from 1 species
GGUUAAGCGACCAAGCGUACACGGUGGAUGCCCUGGCAGUCAGAGGCGAUGAAGGGCGUGCUAAUCUGCGAUAAGCGCCGGUAAGGUGAUAUGAACCGUUAUAACCGGCGAUACCCGAAUGGGGAAACCCAGUGUGAUUCGUCACACUAUCAUUAACUGAAUCCAUAGGUUAAUGAGGCAAACCGGGGGAACUGAAACAUCUAAGUACCCCGAGGAAAAGAAAUCAACCGAGAUUCCCCCAGUAGCGGCGAGCGAACGGGGAGGAGCCCAGAGCCUGAAUCAGCAUGUGUGUUAGUGGAAGCGUCUGGAAAGGCGCGCGAUACAGGGUGACAGCCCCGUACACAAAAGCGCAUGUGCUGUGAGCUCGAUGAGUAGGGCGGGACACGUGGUAUCCUGUCUGAAUAUGGGGGGACCAUCCUCCAAGGCUAAAUACUCCUGACUGACCGAUAGUGAACCAGUACCGUGAGGGAAAGGCGAAAAGAACCCCGGCGAGGGGAGUGAAAAAGAACCUGAAACCGUGUACGUACAAGCAGUGGGAGCACAGGUUUACCUGUGUGACUGCGUACCUUUUGUAUAAUGGGUCAGCGACUUAUAUUCUGUAGCAAGGUUAACCGAAUAGGGGAGCCGGAGGGAAACCGAGUCUUAAUUGGGCGUUAAGUUGCAGGGUAUAGACCCGAAACCCGGUGAUCUAGCCAUGGGCAGGUUGAAGGUUGGGUAACACUAACUGGAGGACCGAACCGACUAAUGUUGAAAAAUUAGCGGAUGACCUGUGGCUGGGGGUGAAAGGCCAAUCAAACCGGGAGAUAGCUGGUUCUCCCCGAAAGCUAUUUAGGUAGCGCCUCGUGAAUUCAUCUCCGGGGGUAGAGCACUGUUUCGGCCAGGGGGCCAUCCCGGCUUACCAACCCGAUGCAAACUGCGAAUACCGGAGAAUGUUAUCACGGGAGACACACGGCGGGUGCUAACGUCCGUCGUGAAGAGGGAAACAACCCAGACCGCCAGCUAAGGUCCCAAAGUCAUGGUUAAGUGGGAAACGAUGUGGGAAGGCCCAGACAGCCAGGAUGUUGGCUUAGAAGCAGCCAUCAUUUAAAGAAAGCGUAAUAGCUCACUGGUCGAGUCGGCCUGCGCGGAAGAUGUAACGGGGCUAAACCAUGCACCGAAGCUGCGGCAGCGAACGUAUCACCCAAGACAACUUUGCACAGUUGACGAUUGACGGAGCGAAGCGACGUCAAAGCGUUUUACAACGUCGAGUUGGCUUAGGGAUACGUUCGUUGGGUAGGGGAGCGUUCUGUAAGCCUGUGAAGGUGGCCUGUGAGGGUUGCUGGAGGUAUCAGAAGUGCGAAUGCUGACAUAAGUAACGAUAAAGCGGGUGAAAAGCCCGCUCGCCGGAAGACCAAGGGUUCCUGUCCAACGUUAAUCGGGGCAGGGUGAGUCGACCCCUAAGGCGAGGCCGAAAGGCGUAGUCGAUGGGAAACGGGUUAAUAUUCCCGUACUUGGUGUUACUGCGAAGGGGGGACGGAGAAGGCUAUGUUGGCCGGGCGACGGUUGUCCCGGUUUAAGCGUGUAGGCUGGUUUUCCAGGCAAAUCCGGAAAAUCAAGGCUGAGGCGUGACGACGAGGCACUACGGUGCUGAAGCAACAAAUGCCCUGCUUCCAGGAAAAGCCUCUAAGCAUCAGGUAACAUCAAAUCGUACCCCAAACCGACACAGGUGGUCAGGUAGAGAAUACCAAGGCGCUUGAGAGAACUCGGGUGAAGGAACUAGGCAAAAUGGUGCCGUAACUUCGGGAGAAGGCACGCUGACACGUAGGUGAAGUGAUUUACUCAUGGAGCUGAAGUCAGUCGAAGAUACCAGCUGGCUGCAACUGUUUAUUAAAAACACAGCACUGUGCAAACACGAAAGUGGACGUAUACGGUGUGACGCCUGCCCGGUGCCGGAAGGUUAAUUGAUGGGGUCAGCGCAAGCGAAGCUCCUGAUCGAAGCCCCGGUAAACGGCGGCCGUAACUAUAACGGUCCUAAGGUAGCGAAAUUCCUUGUCGGGUAAGUUCCGACCUGCACGAAUGGCGUAAUGAUGGCCAGGCUGUCUCCACCCGAGACUCAGUGAAAUUGAACUCGCUGUGAAGAUGCAGUGUACCCGCGGCAAGACGGAAAGACCCCGUGAACCUUUACUAUAGCUUGACACUGAACAUUGAGCCUUGAUGUGUAGGAUAGGUGGGAGGCUUUGAAGCGUGGACGCCAGUCUGCGUGGAGCCGGCCUUGAAAUACCACCCUUUAAUGUUUGAUGUUCUAACGUGGACCCGUAAUCCGGGUUGCGGACAGUGUCUGGUGGGUAGUUUGACUGGGGCGGUCUCCUCCUAAAGAGUAACGGAGGAGCACGAAGGUUGGCUAAUCCUGGUCGGACAUCAGGAGGUUAGUGCAAUGGCAUAAGCCAGCUUGACUGCGAGCGUGACGGCGCGAGCAGGUGCGAAAGCAGGUCAUAGUGAUCCGGUGGUUCUGAAUGGAAGGGCCAUCGCUCAACGGAUAAAAGGUACUCCGGGGAUAACAGGCUGAUACCGCCCAAGAGUUCAUAUCGACGGCGGUGUUUGGCACCUCGAUGUCGGCUCAUCACAUCCUGGGGCUGAAGUAGGUCCCAAGGGUAUGGCUGUUCGCCAUUUAAAGUGGUACGCGAGCUGGGUUUAGAACGUCGUGAGACAGUUCGGUCCCUAUCUGCCGUGGGCGCUGGAGAACUGAGGGGGGCUGCUCCUAGUACGAGAGGACCGGAGUGGACGCAUCACUGGUGUUCGGGUUGUCAUGCCAAUGGCACUGCCCGGUAGCUAAAUGCGGAAGAGAUAAGUGCUGAAAGCAUCUAAGCACGAAACUUGCCCCGAGAUGAGUUCUCCCUGAGACUUAAAGUCUCCUGAAGGAACGUUGAAGACGACGACGUUGAUAGGCCGGGUGUGUAAGCGCAGCGAUGCGUUGAGCUAACCGGUACUAAUGAACCGUGAGGCUUAACCUU